rnacentral:rRNA from 1 species
UACGUAGGGGGCAAGCGUUGUCCGGAAUCAUUGGGCGUAAAGAGCGUGUAGGCGGCCCGAUAAGUCCGCUGUGAAAGUCCAGGGCUCAACCCUGGGAUGCCGGUGGAUACUGUCGGGCUCGAGUCCGGAAGAGGAGUGUGGAAUUCCUGGUGUAGCGGUGAAAUGCGCAGAUAUCAGGAGGAACACCAAUUGCGAAGGCAGCUCGCUGGGACGUUACUGACGCUGAGACGCGAAAGCGUGGGGAGCAAACAGG